rnacentral:rRNA from 1 species
GAUGAACGCUGGCGGCGUGCUUAACACAUGCAAGUCGAACGGAGAAAGGGUAGCUUGCUAUCUUUUCUUAGUGGCGGACGGGUGAGUAACGCGUGGGUAACCUGCCCUUUGCAGGGGGAUAACAGUGAGAAAUCACUGCUAAUACCGCAUACCAACUUCUUUCGCAUGAAGGAAGUUUGAAAGAUUUAUCGGCAAAGGAUGGACCCGCGUUGGAUUAGCUAGUUGGUGAGAUAACAGCCCACCAAGGCAACGAUCCAUAGCCGGCCUGAGAGGGUGAACGGCCACACUGGGACUGAGACACGGCCCAGACUCCUACGGGAGGCAGCAGUGGGGAAUAUUGUCACAAUAGGGCGAAAGCCUGAUGCAGCGACGCCGCGUGAAGGAUGAAGGUCUUCGGAUUGUAAACUUCUAUCAGCAGGGAAGAAAGGGCCUAUGGCCUAUGACGGUACCUGACUAAGAAGCCCCGGCUAACUACGUGCCAGCAGCCGCGUAAAAGUCUACGG